rnacentral:lncRNA from 1 species
CGAGUUGACAUUUAUUUUUGCUACACCCUUGCACUUUGCUGCCCAUUUCAUUUCGUGGAGAUCAAGUAGUAUAUUUGCUUAUGAAAUUGCCACACUCCUUUUUUGAAGGGGCUGCUGGAGAACACGGAUAAAGAGAGAAUCAAGAGACUUGUACGAUUGAAGCCACCUACGGAAUUCUGAAUGGAUAGCCACCCUCUCUCUCAAAUUUAUAAAAAUGAAACAUUUCCGUUUAGGCAGCAUUCCGUAUGUUAUGCAUGAUGAACAAACUUUAAUGUAUUGUUUCAAGUGGUCUUGUGUGUAGGCUUCUUCACUGCUCAACUCCCUUUAGUUUUUUCACCUUUAUUGAUUGUUGUCUAGUCCUUAUUUGAACCAGCACACAGGUGAAAUUUUUCAGUUAUAUUAAGAAAGAAAAGUAAUAAGGCUUAUUUUUACUUUUUACACUCUUUUUAUCUUCCUUUGCCCUCCAGUUGUUUGGUAGUCAUUAGAUGCUUGAUUCGACCCGAGAAUGCCUUAGUGCAUCCUUGGAAGUAGGGGUGGACCCACUAAAGGAUGAGUGGGGUCGGCUGCCCUCAAUGUAUUUUCGAAAACCUUCAAUUCGACCUUGUUAAAUUUAAAUUUUCAGAUUUUUUUGGUUUUUUUCACAAUUUAUUUUAGCCAAUUUUCCGUCUCAUCUCCACUAAAGAAUAAUUCUGGAUCCGCCCUUGGAAGAGAAAGACUCAUUCUCUUGAUCAGCUUUCCUUCGACUCCUUUUUUUCUGAAUAUUCCAAGGUGAAAAGGAAAGAACUCCUUGGGGUUUAUAGUCUAUUCUUUCUUAAAGGAAAGAGUCACUUGCUAAGAGUUAUUAAUCAAGCUAAUCAGAGCAAAGAAUCGCUAUGCCCCCAUUACCCGUACCUGUUACUGGUACCUAUGGGUUCUACGCUUGAGGUUAGUCCAUUUCUGCUUGGACGGUUGUAUUCUUGAAUUUUUCGGACUUUCAAGUUGUAUAAUUAGAACCUGUUUCAUGUAGAUUUUUUCAUAAUAGAUUUGUCAAAAUUAAUUUUUUUCAAGAAUAUGCGGUUAAAAAUAGGAAAAAAUUAUGUGCCCACUUGCAAAAUUAUUUUAUUGAAAGAAUGAAUGGUUAAAAAUGAGUGUGAAAAAAAAGAGUUCAAAAAAUGCUUUUUAGCAAAUUUUCUUUGUUGGUUAAAAUUGAAAAGAAGCAAUAAAUUUUAAAAGGAACUCUUCCUUUACUGUCCAAAUUAGAAGUUUGUACUCCCAACAACUUAUCUUAAUGUGUUUGUGAGUUAUAAAACAAUGGUUGUAUCCUUAGCCGUUGAAUAUGAUAUCUCUGAAAUGUGACACUUAAUAGUUUUUAUCUUACUUUCUGCACACUCGAAUCCAAUGAGAGUGGCAACAUGGUUCCACGCCUUUAUUGAAUUCCUAACAAUUUACUCGUAAGGGUAGGUCGGGGUAGAUAUGCAACUCAAUACCAGUUUCGUGGUAUCUUUAAGGUUAGGAUUGGCAUGUUAGACAUCCUACACUCGAGAGCUUGGUAUGCAAUGCCAAGAAGUUCUUUGGUGAUCUUGCGAAUGCUAGAAAUGACAUUAUAUAGUGUAGAGCAUUCGAGGAUUUUGUUUUAGAGUUUGUGAUCAUGUACUAAACACGUGCAUUUAUAUUUUUGUGUUACAUUGUUAAUCUAAUGAAACUAAUGAAAUAGUUGCACUGUGCACACUAGGUAAAAGUUAACAAUCGACAAAACACAGCCUAAUAACAAUAUUCUAGAGUGAUGGCUUGAAUCGACGUCAAAGGAAGAUUUCAUACAGAAACGGAAUUGGCGUCGAUUGAUGUAAUUUUUCGAAGUGUCCGUUUUCGAAGAGUUUUGGGUCCAUUUUGGGUGCAAACAACCCAAUAGACAAGACAUAGAGCUUCGACUAGAUGUUCGACUUUUUUGGGGCCAAUCCAUCAUUAUGUGUCUGAAAACAUGUUUUUGAUUUUCUGGAUAAUUUUAUUAAUUUUAAUAAGAUUAGAAUUUUAAUUUCAUUUAGAGUUGGUCGUUAUUUUUAAUUCUCAUGAUUAUCUUGAGUUAGUCGUUAUCUAGAAGUUUAUCAUUAUGUAGAAGUUUAGUUGUGAGCCAUAUUUUAUUUACUGUUUUAAAUACGAGUUAUAAGUCGUAUGACGUUGAGUUAAAUUUGAGUAUAAUGAAAAAUCUUGAGAAGUUUCUCAAAAUGGUUCUCUCUUUUUUGGUAUUCAUGAGCUAAUCAUCGAGUUUGAGCUUUAUCGUGAGAUUUUAUUCAUUCCUAUAAGUUUUCGCUACAUCAAAACUGAUCCUAUUUUUUAGAAAAGUGGUUCAUUUCUCAAUAAUAAUAAUAAUAAUAAUAAUAUAGUUUUGUACGAUAAAUCAACUUAUUUUUAUCCACUUUAUACAAUGCAUGAUAUUACUCGAGAGUAUUUAAAUUUGCACAGGCCUAUACUUAAUGAAUGAAGUGUGAUUUUUUCCCCGAGAGUAUUUAAGUGAGUUGGACCUGUAUGGUGAAUGGGCUAGGUUAUAUUGGCGUGGUGUUGGAUUUAUUGGGAAAUUUAUUUAAAGAAUAGCAACAAAAACAGUAGCACACAUUUUGAAGAGCAGUACUAUUCGACGAUAUUCUCUCUCUCUCUCUCCCUCGCUAACAAUUAACUAACAACUAGGAAACUACUGCUGCUGCCUCUUAUAUAUGUUUGGUGUUUUGGUGAAAGAUGGUUAUAAGGCUUGGAUGGAUUGUGGAAGGUGGUGGGGUGUGUGCGCGUAUAGAUUGGAUGGAAAUGGCUUUGUUGGACAAAGGAAACAAUUUGAGCUGUGCUACUAAAUUGAAAGGGGAACGGAAGAGAAGAAGAGAAAGGAUGCUGAAAAGAGGGAAGAAGAGGGAGAGAACAGAGAGUAACAGGGGAAGAAAAUCUGUUUAUUUCAGUAUCAAAGCUUGUUUCAAUUACAUUGCAAAAGCCCCCUCUAUAUAGGGUUUCAGAGAGCCUAUUCUAAGUAGCAAAUAUCUAAUAAAAGCUAUUAAAUUUAACCUGAUUAAGUUUCCUAAGAUGAACCUUAAAAUUGGAACUAUAUUAAAUAAUGUCUCUCCUAUAUUGCAUUAAAAGGUUUGCUUUGAUAUCGAUUAAAGUUGGCCAGUGAGUAGACAUUUAUUUUUGCUACACCUUUGCACUUUGCUGUCCAUCAUUUCAUUUUGUGGAGAUCAAGCAGUAUAUUUGCUUAUGAAAUUGCCACACUUCUUUUUUGAAGGGGCUGCUGGAGAACACGGAUAAAGAGAGAAUCAAGAGACUUGUACGAUUGAAGCCACCUACGGAAUUCUGAAUGGAUAGCAACCCUCUGUCUCAAAUUUAUAAAAAAGAAAUGUUUCCGUUUAGGCAGCAUUCCGUAUGUUAUGCAUGACGACUAAACUUUAAUGUAUUGUUUCACGUGGUCUUGUGUGUAGGCUUCUUCACUGCUCAACUCCCUUUAGUUUUUGCCCCUUUAUUGAUUGCUGUUUAGCCCUUAUUCUGAUCCAGCACACAGGUGAAAAUUUUCAGUUAUAUUAAGAAAGUAAAGUAAAAGGUUCAUGUUUACUUUUUAGCACUCUUUUUAUCUUCCUUUGCCUUCCAGUUGUUUGGUAGUCAUUAGAUGCUUGAUUCGACCAGAGAAUGCCUUAUUGCAUCCUUGGAAGAGAGACUCAUCUUGAUCAGCUUUCCUUCGGCCCCUUUUUUUGAAUAUUCCGAGGUGAAAAGGAAAGAACUCCUUGGGGUUCAUAUUCUAUUCUCUUUCUUAAAGGAAAGAGUAGCCUUACGGCUGGAAGCCAUCCUGUGGGUUCCUUCCCUUGUUAAGAGUUAUUAAUCAAGCUAAUCAACUAGCGACAGAGCAAAAGAAUCGUUAAGGCGCUGUUACCCAUACCGGUUACGGAUACCUACGGUCCUACGCUUGAGGUUAGUCCGUUUCUGCUUGGAAGGUUGUAUUCUGGAAUUUUUCGGACUUUCAAGUUGUAUAUUUAAAACCUGUUUCAUGUAGACUCUUUCUACUACAGAUUUUGUCAAAAUUAAUUUUUUUUUCAAGAACAUGUGGUUAAAAA